rnacentral:rRNA from 1 species
GAUGAACGCUGGCGGCGUGCCUAAUACAUGCAAGUCGAGCGAACAGACGAGGAGCUUGCUCCUCUGACGUUAGCGGCGGACGGGUGAGUAACACGUGGAUAACCUACCUAUAAGACUGGGAUAACUUCGGGAAACCGGAUCUAAUACCGGAUAAUAUAUUGAACCGCAUGGUUCAAUAGUGAAAGACGGUUUUGCUGUCACUUAUAGAUGGAUCCGCGCCGCAUUAGCUAGUUGGUAAGGUAACGGCUUACCAAGGCAACGAUGCGUAGCCGACCUGAGAGGGUGAUCGGCCACAAUGGAACUGAGACACGGUACAGACUCAUACGGGAGGCAGCAGUAGGGAAGCUUCCGCAAUGGGCGAAAGCCUGACGGAGCAACGCCGCGUGAGUGAAGAAGGUCUUCGGAUCGUAAAACUCUGUUAUUAGGGAAGAACAAAUGUGUAAGUAACGAUGCACGUCUGGACGGUACCUAAUCAGAAAGCCACGGCUAACUACGU